GACGAACGCUGGCGGCGUGCUUAACACAUGCAAGUCGAACGAAGAGCGAUGGAAGCUUGCUUCUAUCAAUCUUAGUGGCGAACGGGUGAGUAACGCGUAAUCAACCUGCCCUUCAGAGGGGGACAACAGUUGGAAACGACUGCUAAUACCGCAUACGAUCUAAUCUCGGCAUCGAGGAUAGAUGAAAGGUGGCCUCUACAUGUAAGCUAUCACUGAAGGAGGGGAUUGCGUCUGAUUAGCUAGUUGGAGGGGUAACGGCCCACCAAGGCGAUGAUCAGUAGCCGGUCUGAGAGGAUGAACGGCCACAUUGGGACUGAGACACGGCCCAGACUCCUACGGGAGGCAGCAGUGGGGAAUCUUCCGCAAUGGACGAAAGUCUGACGGAGCAACGCCGCGUGAGUGAUGACGGCCUUCGGGUUGUAAAGCUCUGUUAAUCGGGACGAAAGGCCUUCUUGCGAAUAGUGAGAAGGAUUGACGGUACCAGAAUAGAAAGCCACGGCUAACUACGUG
rnacentral:rRNA from 1 species